rnacentral:lncRNA from 1 species
AUAAGCUCUUCCUCGGUUGCCAACAACCUAGCAACCAUCCCAUCAAGCAUUUCCCUCAACGUCACAACCUCGGCAAGGAGAGUUUUCUCCAUGGUCUUGGCUUGUUCUUGACACUUGGACAUCCCUUCGUUCAAGGCAGCUUGCAUUCCUUCUUGAAGCUCUUCUCUUCCAUUCUCGAGCUCCUCGACGCGUUGCUCAAAGUCCCCGAACGUAUC